UACGUAGGGGGCUAGCGUUGUUCGGAAUUACUGGGCGUAAAGGGCUCGUAGGCGGCCAACUAAGUCGGACGUGAAAUCCCCAGGCUCAACCUGGGAACUGCGUCCGAUACUGGAUGGCUUGAAUCCGGGAGAGGGAUGCAGAAUUCCAGGUGUAGCGGUGAAAUGCGUAGAUAUCUGGAGGAAUACCGGUGGCGAAGGCGGCAUCCUGGACCGGCAUUGACGCUGAGGAGCGAAAGCCAGGGGAGCAAACGGG
rnacentral:rRNA from 1 species